ACGGGUGAGUAAAGCGUGAGAAUCUGCCCUUCAGUGAGGAAUACCUUCGAGAAAUCGAAGUUAAUACUGCAUACGUCCCUUCGGGGAGAAAGAUGGCCUCUUUGCUGUCGCUGAUGGAUGAGCUUACGUACUAUUAGCUAGUUGGUGGGGUAAAGGCCUACCAAGGCGAUGAUGGUUAACCGGCCUGAGAGGGUGUACGGUCACACUGGAACUUAGACACGGUCCAGACUCCUACGGGAGGCAGCAGUGAGGAAUCUUGCGCAAUGGGCGAAAGCCUGACGCAGCGACGCCGCGUGGAGGAUGAAGGUCUUCGGAUUGUAAACUUCUGUUAAGUGGGAAGAAAGGCACAGUUUUAAUACAGCUGUGAGAUGACGGUACCAUUAGAGAAAGCACCGGCUAACUUCGUGCCAGCAGCCGCGGUAAUACGAAGGGUGCGAGCGUUAUUCGGAUUGAUUGGGCGUAAAGGGUGCGCAGACGGUAUGUUAAGUCGAUUGUUAAAUUUCCCAGCCUAACUGGGAGCAAGCGGUUGAAACUGGCAAACUAGAGGAUGGAAGAGAGAAGUGGAAUUCUCGGA
rnacentral:rRNA from 1 species